UCGCUUCAGCAGCACAUAUACUAAAAUUGGAACGAUACAGAGAAGAUUAGCAUGGCCCCUACGCAAGGAUGACACGCAAAUUCGUGAAGCCUUCCUUCCUUCC
rnacentral:snRNA from 1 species